UGUAGUCAUAUGCUUGUCUCAAAGAUUAAGCCAUGCAUGUCUAAGUAUAAGCAAUUAUACCGUGAAACUGCGAAUGGCUCAUUAAAUCAGUUAUCGUUUAUUUGAUAGUACCUUACUACAUGGAUAACCGUGGUAAUUCUAGAGCUAAUACAUGCUAAAAACCCCAACUUCGGGAGGGGUGUAUUUAUUAGAUAAAAAACCAAUGCCCUUCGGGGCUCCUUGGUGAUUCAUAAUAACUUAACGGAUCGCAUGGCCUUGCGCCGGCGACGGUUCAUUCAAAUUUCUGCCCUAUCAACUUUCGAUGGUAAGGUAUUGGCUUACCAUGGUUUCAACGGGUAACGGGGAAUUAGGGUUCGAUUCCGGAGAGGGAGCCUGAGAAACGGCUACCACAUCCAAGGAAGGCAGCAGGCGCGCAAAUUACCCAAUCCCGACACGGGGAGGUAGUGACAAUAAAUACUGAUACAGGGCUCUUUUGGGUCUUGUAAUCGGAAUGAGUACAAUUUAAACCCCUUAACGAGGAACAAUUGGAGGGCAAGUCUGGUGCCAGCAGCCGCGGUAAUUCCAGCUCCAAUAGCGUAUAUUAAAGUUGUUGCAGUUAAAAAGCUCGUAGUUGAACCUUGGGCCUGGCUGGCCGGUCCGCCUCACCGCGUGUACUGGUCCGGCCGGGCCUUUCCUUCUGGAGAGCCCCAUGCCCUUCACUGGGCGUGCGGGGGAACCAGGACUUUUACUUUGAAAAAAUUAGAGUGUUCAAAGCAGGCCUUUGCUCGAAUACGUUAGCAUGGAAUAAUAGAAUAGGACGUGCGGUCCUAUUUUGUUGGUUUCUAGGACCGCCGUAAUGAUUAAUAGGGAUAGUCGGGGGCAUCAGUAUUCAAUUGUCAGAGGUGAAAUUCUUGGAUUUAUUGAAGACUAACUACUGCGAAAGCAUUUGCCAAGGAUGUUUUCAUUAAUCAGUGAACGAAAGUUAGGGGAUCGAAGACGAUCAGAUACCGUCGUAGUCUUAACCGUAAACUAUGCCGACUAGGGAUCGGGCGAUGUUUCUAUCUUGACUCGCUCGGCACCUUACGAGAAAUCAAAGUUUUUGGGUUCUGGGGGGAGUAUGGUCGCAAGGCUGAAACUUAAAGGAAUUGA
rnacentral:rRNA from 1 species